CAACUGCAUGGUGGCUCACAAUCAUCUACAGUAGGAUCUAAUACCCUCUUCUGGAAUAAAGAACACACUUCUGCUCUGUUCUGGGACAUUAUUAAGAAGAUAUCGAAUAUGUACUUAGCAAUGGGGGCUGAAGCAUAGGUACAGCAUUUCUUUGGUUGAGAUGGAUGCUUACCAUCGGUUGGUGAAUCUGGUGAAUGUCUCAGGCAGACCUCCAAAACUGUUUUCCCUUGGCCUCUGACUUCUGGAUACUAUUGAAAAGUAAGCAUCUACUACUCAUCACUGCAGAACCUUUGAAGACCUUACUUUCAACAGAGCCACCUUUACCAUCACAAAUACAUUUCCUCUACAGAGAGAAUAAUGAGGUCAGGGCUGGUCCAUGAGCUCACAUCCUUAAGAUACAAAGUUCUGAGAAUUAUUCAACCCAUCUUCUCAUUUCAAAGAUGAAAAACAAAUGUGUAUUAAAGACCAAGUGUAGCAAUGCUACCCUUGGUGGUCAAGUUACCCCGUAUGUCAAGACAAUAUGGAAUUAGAAUCCUAGUUGCCAGCCUCUUAAUCCUGCAGUCUUUAAUAUACUAGUACUUCUGAGCACCCCCGCCACUCCUGAGAUAGAGGACCUUGAACUCCCAAUCUU